rnacentral:rRNA from 1 species
GAUCCUGCCGGACCCCACUGCUAUCGGGUUGAGACUAAGCCAUGCGAGUCAUACACUUCUAAGCUAUGUUAGGAGCGUGGCACACGGCUCAGUAACACGUGGUUAAUCUACCCUUAGGACAAAAAUAACCUCGGGAAACUGAGGCUAAUGUUUGAUAAAUGAAAAAACCUGGAAUGGUUUUUCAUUUAAAGGGUAUAGAGAACAUGCUUUCUAUAUCGCCUAAGGAUGAGACCGCGCCCGAUCAGGUAGUUGGUGAGGUAACGGCUCACCAAGCCUAUAACCGGUACGGGCCCUGAGAGGGGAAGCCCGGAGAUGGGAACUGAGGCAAGGUCCCAGGCCCUACGGGGCGCAGCAGGCGCGAAACCUUCGCAAUGCGCGAAAGCGUGACGAGGUUAGCCCGAGUGCCGUCCGCUGAGGAUGGCUUUUACUCGGUGUAAGGAGCCGAGGGAAUAAGGGGAGGGCAAGUCUGGUGUCAGCCGCCGCGGUAAUACCAGCUCCCCGAGUAGUGGGGACGAUUAUUUGGCCUAAAGCGUCCGUAGCCAGUCUAACAAGUCUCUCGUCAAAUCUGACGACCUAAUUGUCAGGGUGCGAGAGAUACUGUUAGACUAGAGGGCGAGAGAGGUCGACGGUAGUCCCGGGGUAGGGGUGAAAUCCUAUAAUCCCGGGAGGACCACCAGUGGCAAAGGCGGUCGACUAGAGCGUGCCUGACGGUGAGGGACGAAAGCUGGGGGAGCGAACCGGAUUAGAUACCCGGGUAGUCCCAGCUGUAAACGAUGCAGGCUAGGUGUUGGGGCGGCUACGAGCCACCCCAGUGCCGCAGGGAAGCCGUUAAGCCUGCCGCCUGGGAAGUACGGUCGCAAGGCUGAAACUUAAAGGAAUUGGCGGGGGAGCACCACAAGGGGUGAAGGCUGCGGUUUAAUUGGAUUCAACGCCGGG